UACGUGCCAGCAGCCGCGGUAAUACGUAGGGGGCAAGCGUUGUCCGGAAUUAUUGGGCGUAAAGCGCGCGCAGGCGGUCCUUUAAGUCUGAUGUGAAAGCCCACGGCUCAACCGUGGAGGGUCAUUGGAAACUGGAGGACUUGAGUACAGAAGAGGAGAGUGGAAUUCCACGUGUAGCGGUGAAAUGCGUAGAGAUGUGGAGGAACACCAGUGGCGAAGGCGACUCUCUGGUCUGUAACUGACGCUGAGGCGCGAAAGCGUGGGGAGCGAACAGGAUUAGAUACCCUGGUAGUCCACGCCGUAAACGAUGAGUGCUAGGUGUUAGGGGGUUUCCGCCCCUUAGUGCUGAAGUUAACGCAUUAAGCACUCCGCCUGGGGAGUACGGCCGCAAGGCUGAAACUCAAAAGAAUUGACGGGGGCCCGCACAAGCGGUGGAGCAUGUGGUUUAAUUCGACGCAACGCGAAGAACCUUACCAGGUCUUGACAUCCUCUGCAAUCGGUAGAGAUACCGAGUUCCCUUCGGGGACAGAGUGACAGGUGGUGCAUGGUUGUCGUCAGCUCGUGUCGUGAGAUGUUGGGUUAAGUCCCGCAACGAGCGCAACCCUUGAUCUUAGUUGCCAGCAUUUAGUUGGGCACUCUAAGGUGACUGCCGGUGACAAACCGGAGGAAGGUGGGGAUGACGUCAAAUCAUCAUGCCCCUUAUGACCUGGGCUACACACGUGCUACAAUGGAUGGAACAAAGGGAAGCAAAACCGCGAGGUCAAGCAAAUCCCAUAAAACCAUUCUCAGUUCGGAUUGCAGGCUGCAACUCGCCUGCAUGAAGCCGGAAUCGCUAGUAAUCGCGGAUCAGCAUGCCGCGGUGAAUACGUUCCCGGGCCUUGUACACACCGCCCGUCACACCACGAGAGUUGGUAACACC
rnacentral:rRNA from 1 species